rnacentral:tRNA from 1 species
UUAAUUGAAACCAAAAUAGCGGUAUAUCACUGUUAAUGAUAAAAUUGAGAUCAUCUCCAAUUAAAGAAA